rnacentral:rRNA from 1 species
AUUGAACGCUGGCGGAAUGCUUUACACAUGCAAGUCGAACGGCAGCACGGACUUCGGUCUGGUGGCGAGUGGCGAACGGGUGAGUAAUAUAUCGGAACGUAUCCAAUAAUGGGGGAUAACUAGUCGAAAGAUUGGCUAAUACCGCAUACGCCCUACGGGGGAAAGCAGGGGAUCUUCGGACCUUGCGUUAAUGGAGCGGCCGAUAUCUGAUUAGCUAGUUGGUGGGGUAAAGGCCCACCAAGGCGACGAUCAGUAGCUGGUCUGAGAGGACGACCAGCCACACUGGAACUGAGACACGGUCCAGACUCCUACGGGAGGCAGCAGUGGGGAAUUUUGGACAAUGGGCGCAAGCCUGAUCCAGCCAUCCCGCGUGAGUGAAGAAGGCCUUCGGGUUGUAAAGCUCUUUCGCAAGGGAAGAAAACUUAGCCACUAACAUUGGCUGAGGUUGACGGUACCUUGAUAAGAAGCACCGGCUAACUACGUGCCAGCCGCCGCGGUAAUAC